GACGAACGCUGGCGGCGUGCUUAACACAUGCAAGUCGAGCGGUAAGGCCCUUUCGGGGGUACACGAGCGGCGAACGGGUGAGUAACACGUGGGUGACCUGCCCUCAGCUCUGGGAUAAGCCUGGGAAACCGGGCCUAAUACUGGAUAUGACUCCAUGACGCAUGUUGUGGGGUGAAAGCCUUGUGCGGCUGAGGAUGGGCCCCGCGGCCUAUCAGCUUGUUGGNGGGGUGAUGGCCUACCAAGGCGACGACGGGGUAGCCGGCCUGAGAGGGCGACCGGCCACACUGGGACUGAGACACGGCCCAGACUCCUACGGGAGGCAGCAGUGGGGAAUCUUGCGCAAUGGGCGAAAGCCUGACGCAGCGACG
rnacentral:rRNA from 1 species